UACGUAGGGGGCAAGCGUUGUCCGGAUUUAUUGGGCGUAAAGAGCGUGUAGGCGGCCUGACAAGUCUGCUGUGAAAACUCGAGGCUCAACCUCGAGAUGUCGGCGGAAACUGUCUGGCUAGAGUCCGAAAGAGGAGAGUGGAAUUCCUGGUGUAGCGGUGAAAUGCGCAGAUAUCGGGAAGAACACCCGUGGCGAAGGCGGUUCUCUGGGACGGUACUGACGCUGAGACGCGAAAGCGUGGGGAGCGAACAGG
rnacentral:rRNA from 1 species